rnacentral:rRNA from 1 species
AGUUCAGAUUGCAGGCUGAAACUCGCCUGCAUGAAGUCGGAAUUGCUAGUAAUCGCAGAUCAGCAUGCUGCGGUGAAUACGUUCCCGGGCCUUGUACACACCGCCCGUCACACCAUGGGAGUCGGUAACACCCGAAGCCUGUAGUCUAACCGCAAGGAGGACGCAGUCGAAGGUGGGAUUGAUGACUGGGGUGAAGUCGUAACAAGGUAGC